AGAAGCUCCCUUGCAUGCUGCUGGGCACUCUACAGGAUUAGGAGUUUCCAACUCAGCAGGGACCAAAGGGGAGUCUGCAGAAAGGAUUUCCUUUCUUCAGAUAAACCCAGAGGUGCGGCAGCUUGGGACCAUCUGGCCUUCACCUUCUGAGCAGCACAUUGGGAUCCCAAAGUCCUUCACUACAAGAACCUUAUUAAAGUACAAUAAUUUUCCAAUGUUAAAGAGACAGUGAAUACAGAGGAUCUCUGCUUGGACAGCAAAUAGCGAUCUGGGCUUGUGCAGUCACAUCUCUGGUUGGAUAUCAUCUGUGCUUUGAUGACAGUUGUAACAGUUGUAACUUGGUACAGUUACAACUGUACCAAGGGUUGAGGAAAAUGAAACAACUUCCCUGACCAGAGCAUCUUUUUUGGGAAAAGGCUGAGCUGAGGCUGUGGUACUGCCCAGCCUGCUCUGACUGCCAGAGCCACUUGGGUCAAGGAAGGAAAGGAGCCAGAGGAGCUCUUUGAAGGUCUCUUGAGAGGACUUGUAAAUCACCUGUGGAAUCCUGAGAGCGCACAACUGUACUCAGCCUUUUAGAGAAAUGCAGUCAUGUCGGGGCAGGAAGGAGGAAUGGAGCCAGGCCCCAUUUCCCAGCAUAAGACCCUGCAUCCCUUGAGAUGGACCAAGUGCCUGUGACCAGGCUUUGGCCUCUUCUGGGCUUUCAUUCUUGUGACACAUCUUGAAGCCCGCCCCUGUAUCUGGACACGUCACUGUAGAACGCAUAUCCCCAUGUGCCCCCGCCCCUGUUCUGCAGGGACAGCCACAAGGCGGUCUGUGUCCUCGUGUCCUUUGGCAGAUGCUGGAGCACCAGGACAUCUCCACUUCAGAAUGUACCACAAAGCCCAUGCAGACCUGGAAGACUUCAAAGCUGACCCCUCUGUCAGGCACCUAUCCCUGGAGCACUUUCUUCAGGCAAUAGCAGCUCUGCCAUUAAUGGUUACCUGCACAGUGUCAGUAUAAUGAAAAAGGAAUAUCCUUUGAGAUUGUCAACCUUGUGUACCCGCUAGCACAUCCAAUUACAACCUGGAUUUCCUUAAGACUCAAGGAUUUGCUUCCUGUGAUCUUCCUUCUUUGUAUCCCACUGGCACCAUUAACCUGAAUACAAAUGGAAAAUUUUAAGAUAUUUCCCAGAGUCUUUGACAAGAUAGCAAAACACUUCUCUUUCUCAGGAGCAGAAAGAUGUUUUUUAUUGGAGUAAAUGCACCUGCAAAACUGGCUGCAGCCCCAUGAGCUGCUUUUGGCCAGGGCCCUGGGGUGGCAAUGGAGCUCAGGCUUGGAGGUGGCUUCAGCUGCCCCUGCUGCAGAAGGAUCCCUUCCUUACCAUGUGCCAGAUUCUUUCUCAGUGCCAUCAACACACCUUCUCUUGUCUGGCCCUUCUGCUGGGCUGUCUGCAGUGUGGUGAAGCUUCCAUUCUUUUCAAUACUGUGUUUUACAUGCUCUUAAUUUUAUAACACGAUAGAGGUUGAUCAAUACAUUCUGCUAUUUCCUGCCUUCUCUCACAACACCUGUUCAAAUAGUUAUUAAAUCAAAUACUCCAGCCAGUUCUGUAAAUCCAGCCCAGCACUCAGGUUAUGGUUAUGAGAGAUGCACAGGAUGUACCAAUGCUCAUCUCAGGGUGAAGGAGCAGCUUUUUGCUGCCCUUCAUUUCCCUCUAGCAUAGAGCACUGAUGAAGGAACAGGCUGCAAGAACAUGAGAGCACUGCCUGGAGAUUUUGGGCUGUUGCGAGAAGAUACCAGAUGAUAAUCUAAGAAAAUCUGCCCAUUGGAAUCUGAGGUUCAGAACUGCUAAUGGCCAAGAAGAUAACGUGUUAUUUACUGCAAAUAGGCAUCUGCAGUGGCCUCAAAGGCACGGAUGUCAGACUGCCCUGCUACACACAUCAAAACCCCUUAAGAGUCUCGAUCCCAAAUUCAGUCUCCAAAGCCAAACCGUGAUGGUAUCACAUUCGCUUCUCAUUUCUGUGUGGGCACUGUGCCCGUGCAGUUAUAACACAGCUGAGUCUGAUUUUCAUAUAGUUCAUUGUUUACUUAUGACUUACUAUAAAGCUGAGCUUGUCUUAUUUAUGAGCAGCCAUGAAGAUAUGGGAUUUCAUCCACUGGGUGAUGACUCAUUCAUUGGGUUGGACUCUUUAGCUCCUAAUACGUGACAUAUUUUGGACUAUUGGAUGAACAGCAUUUCUGCAUGAGCCCAAACUGAAUGAGGUGAAUGGAAAUAAUUAGUUGUUUGUUUUUACGAUCAUGUUUGUAGCAGUGUUUGUGCUGGUUCAGCUCCGGGCUCGUUCUAGCAAUGUGCACAAGGGCAGGAUGAGUUGCUGUACGCUGUGGUGGAGAGGUGAUGAACAGCAUUUCUGAGUCAGACGUCUAAACAUGCCAGGGGAUACUUUGCUUUGUUUCUGUUGCUCAAGGAAAAGCUUUGCGGUGAUGGAGCAUUUGAUAC